rnacentral:rRNA from 1 species
AGUUUGAUUCUACUCAGAUUGAACGCUGGCGGGAUGCUUUACACAUGCAAGUCGAACGGCAGCACGGACUUUUCGGUCUGGUGGCGAUAAGAACGGGUGAGCAAUGUAUCGAACGCUUCAGUAGCGGGGAUAACUACGCCGAAAGCGUAGCUGUAAUACCGCAUACGCGCCCUCGGGGGAAAGCGGGGACCUCUCGGCCUCGCACUAUUAGAGCGGCUGAUAUCGGAUUAGCUAGUUGGUGGGGUAACGCAGCUCACCAAGGCGACGAUCCGUAGCUGGUUUGAGAGGACGACCAGCCACACUGGGACUGAGACACGGCCCAGAUCUACGGGAGGCAGCAGUGGGGAAUUUUGGACAAUGGGGAAACCCUGAUCCAGCCAUCCCGCGUGUGCGAUGAAGGCCUUCGUCAGGAAGCAAUUUUGCAGGAAGAAACGGCACGGGAUAAUACUCCGUGCAACUGACGGUACCUGCAGAAUGGGGCGGACCGGCUAAUCAGCCAGCAGCCGCGGUAAUACGUAGGGUGCAAGCGUUAAUCGGAAUUACUGGGCGUAAAGCGGGCACAGGCGGUUCGGAAAGAAAGAUGUGGAACUUGUGAGCUUAACUUCUUUGGAACUGCAUUUUUAACUACCGAGCGAGUGUCAGAGGAGUGGAAUUCCGCGUAGCAGUGGAAUGCGUAGAUAUGCGGAGGAACACCGAUGGCGAAGGCAGCCUCCUGGGAUAACACCUGACGCUCAUGCACGAAAGCGUGGGAGCAAACAGGAUUAGAUACCCCGGUAGUCCACGCCCUAAACGAUGUCAACUAGCUGUUGGGGCCUUCGGGCCUUCGGUAGCGCAGCUAACGCGUGAAGUUGACCGCCUGGGGAGUACGGUCGCAAGAUUAAAACUCAAAGCAAUUGACGGGGACCCACACAAGCGGUGGAUGAUGGAUUAAUCGAUGCAACGCGAAAAAACUCCACAAUUUCACCUGAUAGCAACUGAAAUCCGGAAGAGAUUUGGGAGUGCCGCAUGAGAACCGGAACACAGGUGCUGUAUGGCUGCUGCCGCUCGUGUCGAGAUGUUGGGUUAAGUCCCGCAACGAGCAACCCUUUGUCAAGGAAGCUGCUGCUGAAAGGGCACUCUAUCGAGACUGCCGGUGACAAACCGAGGAAGGUGGGGAUGACGUCAGUUCCGCGGUCUCUUAUGGGUAGGGUCAACACGUCAUAUAGCUGUUUUGUCGGGACAGAGGGUCGCCAACCCGCGAGGGGGAGCCAAUCCAGAAACCCGAUCGUGGUCCGAUCGCAGUCUGCAACUCGACCGUGAAGUCGAAUCGCUAGCACCGCGGAUCAGCAGUCGUGGUGAAUACGUUCCCGGGUCUUGCAGACACCGCCCGGGUUACACCAUGGAGUGGGUUUUACCGCAGAAGUAGUUAGCCUAACCGUAAGGAGGGCGAUUACCACGGUAGGAUUCAUGAUCAGUAAGUCGUACCAAGGUGGC